GAUGAACGCUGGCGGCGUGCCUAAUACAUGCAAGUCGAGCGAACGGACGAGAAGCUUGCUUUUCUGAUGUUAGCGGCGGACGGGUGAGUAACACGUGGAGAACCUACCUAUAAGACUGGGAUAACUUCGGGAAACCGGAGCUAAUACCGGAGAAUAUUUUGAACCGCAUGGUUCAAAAGUGAAAGACGGUCUUGCUGUCACUUAGAGAUGGAUCCGCGCUGCAUUAGCUAGUUGGUAAGGUAACGGCUUACCAAGGCAACGAUGCAUAGCCGACCUGAGAGGGUGAUCGGCCACACUGGAACUGAGACACGGUCCAGACUCCUACGGGAGGCAGCAGUAGGGAAUCUUCCGCAAUGGGCGAAAGCCUGACGGAGCAACGCCGCGUGAGUGAUGAAGGUCUUCGGAUCGUAAAACUCUGUUAUUAGGGAAGAACAUAUGUGUAAGUAACUGUGCACAUCUUGACGGUACCUAAUCAGAAAGCCACGGCUAACUACGUG
rnacentral:rRNA from 1 species